rnacentral:misc_RNA from 1 species
AAGUCGUAACAAGGUCUCCGUUGGUGAACCAGCGGAGGGAUCAUUACAGAGUUGAAAGACUCCCAAACCAUCGCGAACGCUACCCCUAUCGUUGCUUCGGCGGGCGUUAUCUCCCCAACCGACCCCUCGCGGGCGGGCGGGGGGAGCCCGCCGGCGGCACCCUAAAACUCUUGUUUUUACCACUGGACCUCUCUGAGUAUACUGUAUCAAAAUCAGUUAAAACUUUCAACAACGGAUCUCUUGGUUCUG